rnacentral:rRNA from 1 species
UACGUAGGGGGCAAGCGUUGUCCGGAUUUAUUGGGCGUAAAGAGCGUGUAGGCGGCUAGAUAGGUCCGUUGUGAAAACUCGAGGCUCAACCUCGAGACGUCGAUGGAAACCAUCUGGCUAGAGUCCGGAAGAGGAGAGUGGAAUUCCUGGUGUAGCGGUGAAAUGCGCAGAUAUCAGGAGGAACACCGGUGGCGAAGGCGGGUCUCUGGGCCGAUACUGACGCUGAGUGAGCGAAAGCCAGGGGAGCAAACGGG